CACGUAGGGUGCGAGCGUUGUCCGGAAUUAUUGGGCGUAAAGAGCUCGUAGGCGGUGUGUCGCGUCGGCCGUGAAAACCUGCAGCUUAACUGUGGGCGUGCGGUCGAUACGGGCAUCACUGGAGUUCGGCAGGGGAGACUGGAAUUCCUGGUGUAGCGGUGAAAUGCGCAGAUAUCAGGAGGAACACCUGCGGCGAAGGCGGGUUGCUGGGCUGAUACUGACGCUGAGGCGCGAAAGCCAGGGGAGCGAACAGG
rnacentral:rRNA from 1 species